GCAAAAAGAGCGAAACUCUGUCAAAAAAAAGAAAAAGAAAGAAAGAGAGAGAGAGAGAGAGAAAGCAGAGAGGCUACUGCAGAGAAAAGUCUAGAAGGAUGGGUUCAUGGGUUCAUCGAGAGACAAUAGCUUAACAACCAGCACACCAUAGUUGGCAAAACACUAUCAUUGAAAAAAAAACAUGCUCAAAAGGGGAAAUGCCAGUUUGGGUAAAUAUGCUUUUGUGUUGGAGAGAAAGAAUUUGGAACAGGCUUUUCAGACCCCCUUAAGGCCCAACAAACAAAUUAUAAUUUAGACAAGUCUGGGAUUCUUCACAGCUCAGCUUGUGGUGAUGGUAUUAGCUUCACAACUCCAAACAAGUUAAGCUGUCUGUGUGAAAUCUCCUCAACAACACCUCACUGGCAAACCUGGAGGUGCUGAAAACAGAGCUUUCAAUUCUUGUUUGCAACCAAGGGAGUUGAGUUGGCAGAUGGGCACUGUGUCCAGCCUUGGGAAAGGACAUCGCAGACUUUGCAUCCUAAGAACUCAUAACCACAACGGCAAGGUAAGACACAAGCUCUUGAAAGUUUCCAUCACAGUGCAGCACAAAUGACCUUGGCUAUGUGCCCUGUUAUUGCUGGUCCCUGCUUAAAAAUCUCCUGUGACUUCCAACCACACAAAUUUCCUACCUGGUUGCAAAAAUGCCCUUGAUAAUUCACCCCUCCCUCUAUCUUGCCCCCUUUACAAUGUGGCUUGGCAGCUCCUCCCAUCAAGAGUUAAAAUCUAUUUCCUCACCCCUUGAAUCUAGGCUGGCCAUGGGACUUGCUUUGGCCAAUAGAUGUGGCAGAAAUUAUGGCGUGACAGUUCUAAGCAUGAGUCUCAAGAGGCUUUGCAUGCAGCAACUUUCUCUUAGAACCCUGCCACCAUGUGAACAAUCCUGCCUGGGCUAGCCUAAUGGAGGAUGAGAGACCAUGUGGAAGAGAGCUGAGGUGCCCCAGCCAACAACCAGCCUACCCCAGAAGCAGAGGCAUCUGCUGACCCACAGCUGACUCCAGAUGCAUAAGGGAGCUCAGCCUAGAUCCAGAACGCCUCCCAGCUGAGUCUAGCCUAGACUGCCAGCCUGCCAAAUCAUGAAGUAAUAAGGGACUAUUGUUUUAAGUCACUACCUUUUGGGGGAAUUUGAUAUGCAACAAUAGCUCUCUGAUACAUAUAGGCCUACAAGUCUAUAGAAAAACUAUGCUGCCUCUCUCUCCAGCCACACAAUUUCUUUCUCUUCUCAUUUACUAUUCUAAUUCCUCUGUGUUAUAGUCUGUGUCCCAAAAUUCAUGUCAAAAUCCUAAUCUCCAAGGUAAUGGUAUUAGAAGGUAAAUCUUUGGUAGGUGAUCAGGUCAUGAGGGUGGAGCCCUCAUGAAUGGGAUUAGUAACCUUAUAAAAGAGAACCCAGAGAGCUCAUUUGCUGCUUCUGCCAUGUGAAGAUACAGUGAAAAAAGAAGCAGGCCCUUGCCAGAUACGAGUUUGCCAAUGCCUUGAUCUUGGAAUUCCCAGCCUCCAGAACUGUGAGCAAAAGGACGUGUGUAUGUUCACCCAUAUGCUGCACAAAUAUGUAAUGGACACCAGCCAUGACCAGCCUACUGGGGACUGCUUGGCAGUAGCAACAUGGCAGCGAACAAGACAGAUGAGCCUCCUGCCCACAGAAGCUUACAUUCGGGUGGAAUACAGGCUGCAUGAGCAGAGAAGAUGACCACACACCUGGGGGAGAGUCAGAUGGCUUCUUCAAUUGGAACGUUCUUCCCUAAGGAUGAGCUAAUAUAGCACAUGACCUGAAAAUCCUUCUGGGAGACUCCAGGUUCUCUGUCUCCAAGCUGGAAAACAAAAGAGGCUGCAAUGGGACAGAGAAGGGCUUCCUGCUGAGGAGAUGAGUGGGCUUAAGAAUUUGCAAGAUCAAAAAUCAAAACAAUUAAACCCAUGGAGAUAGAGUAGAAGGAGAGUGAACAGAGGCUGGGAAGGGUAAUGGGAGAGUUGGUGGGGAGGAGGCAGAUGGU